rnacentral:rRNA from 1 species
AGUCGAACGGUGAAGCCAAGCUUGCUUGGUGGAUCAGUGGCGAACGGGUGAGUAACACGUGAGCAACCUGCCCUGGACUCUGGGAUAAGCGCUGGAAACGGCGUCUAAUACUGGAUAUGAGACGUGAUCGCAUGGUCGUGUUUGGAAAGAUUUUUCGGUCUGGGAUGGGCUCGCGGCCUAUCAGCUUGUUGGUGAGGUAAUGGCUCACCAAGGCGUCGACGGGUAGCCGGCCUGAGAGGGUGACCGGCCACACUGGGACUGAGACACGGCCCAGACUCCUACGGGAGGCAGCAGUGGGGAAUAUUGCACAAUGGGCGGAAGCCUGAUGCAGCAACGCCGCGUGAGGGAUGACGGCCUUCGGGUUGUAAACCUCUUUUAGCAGGGAAGAAGCGAAAGUGACGGUACCUGCAGAAAAAGCGCCGGCUAACUACGUGCCAGCAGCCGCGGUAAUACGUAGGGCGCAAGCGUUAUCCGGAAUUAUUGGGCGUAAAGAGCUCGUAGGCGGUUUGUCGCGUCUGCUGUGAAAUCCCGAGGCUCAACCUCGGGCCUGCAGUGGGUACGGGCAGACUAGAGUGCGGUAGGGGAGAUUGGAAUUCCUGGUGUAGCGGUGGAAUGCGCAGAUAUCAGGAGGAACACCGAUGGCGAAGGCAGAUCUCUGGGCCGUAACUGACGCUGAGGAGCGAAAGGGUGGGGAGCAAACAGGCUUAGAUACCCUGGUAGUCCACCCCGUAAACGUUGGGAACUAGUUGUGGGGACCAUUCCACGGUUUCCGUGACGCAGCUAACGCAUUAAGUUCCCCGCCUGGGGAGUACGGCCGCAAGGCUAAAACUCAAAGGAAUUGACGGGGACCCGCACAAGCGGCGGAGCAUGCGGAUUAAUUCGAUGCAACGCGAAGAACCUUACCAAGGCUUGACAUAUACGAGAACGGGCCAGAAAUGGUCAACUCUUUGGACACUCGUAAACAGGUGGUGCAUGGUUGUCGUCAGCUCGUGUCGUGAGAUGUUGGGUUAAGUCCCGCAACGAGCGCAACCCUCGUUCUAUGUUGCCAGCACGUAAUGGUGGGAACUCAUGGGAUACUGCCGGGGUCAACUCGGAGGAAGGUGGGGAUGACGUCAAAUCAUCAUGCCCCUUAUGUCUUGGGCUUCACGCAUGCUACAAUGGCCGGUACAAAGGGCUGCAAUACCGUGAGGUGGAGCGAAUCCCAAAAAGCCGGUCCCAGUUCGGAUUGAGGUCUGCAACUCGACCUCAUGAAGUCGGAGUCGCUAGUAAUCGCAGAUCAGCAACGCUGCGGUGAAUACGUUCCCGGGUCUUGUACACACCGCCCGUCAAGUCAUGAAAGUCGGUAACACCUGAAGCCGGUGGCCCAACCCUUGUGGAGGGAGCCGUCGA